CGAAAUGCGAUAAGUAGUGUGAAUUGCAGAAUUCAGUGAAUCAUCGAAUCUUUGAACGCACAUUGCGCCCCUUGGUAUUCCAUGGGGCAUGCCUGUUCGAGCGUCAUUUGUACCUUCAAGCUUUGCUUGGUGUUGGGUGUUUGUCUCGCCUCUGCGUGUAGACUCGCCUCAAAACAAUUGGCAGCCGGCGUAUUGAUUUCGGAGCGCAGUACAUCUCGCGCUUUGCACUCAUAACGACGACGUCCAAAAGUACAUUUUUACACUCUUGACCUCGGAUCAGGUAGGGAUACCCGCUGAACUUAAGC
rnacentral:misc_RNA from 1 species